rnacentral:rRNA from 1 species
AUUGAACGCUGGCGGCAUGCUUUACACAUGCAAGUCGAACGGUAACAGGCCUUCGGGUGCUGACGAGUGGCGAACGGGUGAGUAAUGUAUCGGAACGUGCCCAGAGGUGGGGGAUAACGCAGCGAAAGCUGUGCUAAUACCGCAUGUGAUCUGAGGAUGAAAGCGGGGGACCAGGCAGCAAUGUUUGGCCUCGCGCCUUUGGAGCGGCCGAUGUCAGAUUAGGUAGUUGGUGGGGUAAAGGCCUACCGAGCCGACGAUCUGUAGCUGGUCUGAGAGGACGACCAGCCACACUGGGACUGAGACACGGCCCAGACUCCUACGGGAGGCAGCAGUGGGGAAUUUUGGACAAUGGGCGCAAGCCUGAUCCAGCAAUGCCGCGUGCGGGAAGAAGGCCUUCGGGUUGUAAACCGCUUUUGUACGGAACGAAAAGGCUCUGGCUAAUACCUGGGGCUGAUGACGGUACCGUAAGAAUAAGCACCGGCUAACUACGUG